UCCGGGGGCAACUCCGGAUAACCGGCGAACGGGUGCGUAACACGUGACCAACCUGCCCUCGUGUGGGGGAUAGCCGGGCUAACGCCCGGGUAAUACCGCAUACGUUCUCUUGGGGGAGUCCCCAGGGGAGGAAAGCUCCGGCGCACGGGGAGGGGGUCGCGGCCUAUCAGCUAGUUGGCGGGGUAACGGCCCACCAAGGCGACGACGGGUAGCUGGUCUGAGAGGAUGGCCAGCCACAUUGGGACUGAGAGACGGCCCAGACUCCUACGGGAGGCAGCAGUGGGGAAUCUUGCGCAAUGGUCUAACGACUGACGCAGCGACGCCGCGUGUGGGAGGACGCCUUUCGGGGUGUAAACCACUGUUGCCCGGGACGAACAGCCUUUUUCGAGAGGUCUGACGGUACCGGGUGAGGAAGCACCGGCUAACUCCGUGCCAGCAGCCGCGGUAAUACGGAGGGUGCGAGCGUUGUCCGGAAUCAUUGGGCGUAAAGGGCGCGUAGGUGGCCCGGUCAGUCUUUGGUGAAAGCGCGGGGCUCAACCCUGCGUCGGCCAGGGAUACUGCCGCGGCUCGAGCACUGUAGAGGCAGGCGGAAUUCCGGGUGUAGCGGUGGAAUGCGUAGAGAUCCGGAAGAACACCGGUGGCGAAGGCGGCCUGCUGGGCAGUUUACUGACACUGAGGCGCGACAGCGUGGGGAGCAAACAGGAUUAGAUACCCUGGUAGUCCACGCCGUAAACGAUGGGCACUAGGCGCUUGGGGGAGCGACCCCCCGAGGGCCGGCGCUAACGCAUUAAGUG
rnacentral:rRNA from 1 species